CGGCGACGGGGUGAGUAACGCGUGGAUUAUCUGCCCUGAGGUGGGGGAUAACCCGGGGAAACUCGGGCUAAUACCGCAUAUGACCGUGAGGUCAAAGGGGGGUCGCAAGAUCUCUCGCCAUAGGAGGAGUCCGCGUCCGAUUAGCUAGUUGGUAGGGUAAUGGCCUACCAAGGCGACGAUCGGUAGCCGGCCUGAGAGGGUGAUCGGCCACACUGGAACUGAGACACGGUCCAG
rnacentral:rRNA from 1 species